GGAAUCUACCCUCCCCUCCGUUAAACCUCUCUCCCUCCCCUCUCUAUCCUCCAUUCCUCCUCCAUCCCUUCUUCGCCCUCGAGGCUUUGGGCUCGUCCCUCUCCGGCCAAAUCUGGAAGCAGCGACGGCACCCGAGGCCGUCGCACCCCCGCGCUCCUUGCCCCGGCACCCGACGCCUCCCUUCCGCAGCCCGAUCCGGAGCGGAGCGGCUACCGCUGUCCAAAUCGAGCCACCUGCGCCCGUCGGGGGAGAAGCAGGGUGCGCAUCCAGCCUCUCCGCUGAGCCGUCCACAAGGAUCCAUUUCCUCUCCCAUCGGCGGCGUGGAAGAGAACCGGUGAGGGGAUUGCGAAGCUAGAAGCCCACGACGUCGACCGCCGAGCCACCGCGCACGCUCCUGCAGGCAGAUAAAGACGAUGGAUGUGGUGUUUGUCUCCCUUUGCCGUCUGUGAAGACCCGCUGUGAGGUGAUAUCAAGAUAUGGUGAUGCGGAAGAGGUCCGAUUAUGGAUCCCGCGGCCUCCGAGUCGCAACCAUGCCACGUGUUCCAAACUCAGCUCGGGGGAAACGCACCACCAGGAAAAAGAAAGAUGAGAUGUGCGCAUUUGAUUUGCUCGCCACCGUUGCAGGAACAUUAUUGGCAGAUCAGGACAAUUCAGCCAAUGUUCCUAAUACUAGUGGUGCAGCAAAAGCUAAAAAUGAGAAAGCAGUUAAAGAAGAGCCACAUGAUGAAAUUCUGCCCCUAAAAAACAUAGUUAUGGAGAAAGAUUGCUGCAGUGGGUGUGUAGUGGGUUCUGGUGGUAUCCGUUCCUUUCCUAGGCAAGCUAACAACUGCUUGGCAGAAAACUCGUCGACAAGAAAUGAAGCUGGGUCAAUAUUAGAGUCACUAACAGUGAAAUCAAAUAUGUUAGUUAGGGAUUCGUUGGUUAGUUGUACAAGACCAUGUGAAACUAGCCAUGGUCUUGGCAUAAUUCCUGAGUUUGGAGCUCAUGGAAUAUGCCAUCCAGGAUCCUCAAGUUCAGCAGAAGCUGAACAAGUGCACCGGGCUGAAUCAAAUGUGGUCAGAAGACAAGCAGAUGGGCAUGCUCCGUCUCUUCACAGUUUGUUUGACUCUGUGGAUCUGGAUGGUAGACCUCCUGCUUUGGUUAGCUCUGACAGUAGCUCGUGUGUUCCUCUGUGCAGCCAUGACAAGGAACAUCAAACCUCUUCCUUGUGUCGGGGUGAAGUGCAGUAUACUGCGGACAAAGACGAUGAUGAAAAUUCUUCUGGAUGCACAGAUCCAAGCACCAUAGGGGAUAAGGGUUACAAACCACAAUAUCUAGGUAACCAUAGGAUAAGGAAAUUGCUUGCCUCGAAGGUAAGGAAGGCAGCACGUAAUAAUAUCUGUGGAGGUAUUCCAUCAAAAAAGAUUUGUGGAGGGAAGUCCAACAAAGGUAGCAAGUUAAAUUUAUGCAGCAGAAAAAUACCUGCCACACAUCAAAAGGGGCAAAGGACGAUACUCGAAGAAAAAACUAGCGCAUCAUGCAACAUCAGUUGCUAAAGAAAUGCCAACUGAAGCCAGCGGGACAUCUAUGGAAGGUCGAAAUAAAUCAUGCGGAUCUGACAAUUACCAUGUUAAGCUAAGAAUAAAGUCAUUCAACAUCCCAGAAUUGUUCAUCAAUGUCCCUGAAAAUGCAACCAUUGGUUCAUUGAAGAGAACUGUUAUGGAUGUCGUCAAUAGUAUAAUGCAAGGUGGUCUACGCGUUGGUGUUCUUCUUCAAGGAAAGGAUAUCCAAGAUGACAACAAGACACUUCGUCAAGCUGGGAUAUGCCAUGAUAAAAAACUAAAUAACAUAGACUUUACACUGGAAUGUGAAAGUGGGCAAGAUUCUCCCUCUCGAGUUGUCAUACCUGAACAGAUGGAUUUACUCAGUGCAGAUGUUGUGGAGCCAUUAGCUAGGAUGAAGUGUGAAGAGCAUUUUCCUGAAACUGGUGGCGAUGACAACCAGCAGCGAAUACCUCCUUACCGAAGCCGCUCUCUCACUGAUCUGUAUUCUGUUGUUCAUCCUGUUGAGAUGGCUUCACAAGAUACACCAGCAAGUUCCCAGGCCAUUGUCCCUGUUGCACCUUCAGAAGAUGGUGCUCUAGCUAUUGUGCCUCUUUGUAAGCCCAGGCCAUCUGACAUCGGACUAAGGCGCACUAGGAGGCCCUUCACUGUUGGCGAGGUUGAGGUGCUGGUGGAAGCUGUCGAACUGAUUGGGACUGGAAGGUGGAGAGCUGUUAAAAUGCAUGCAUUUGACCAUGUGGACCGCAGGACAUAUGUUGACCUUAAGGACAAGUGGAAGACCUUAGUUCACACUGCAAGUAUAUCCCCGCAACAACGAAGAGGCCAGCCAGUCCCACAAGAACUCCUGGACCGCGUGCUUGCGGCGCAGGCCUACUGGUCCCAGCAGCAGGCAAAGCUCCAGGACAAGCCUCAUGGCAAGUCUGCGCUUCCUGAGAUCUGCCCUGCCUAGGAAUGGAAGCUGGUCUUUGUUGUAAAUACUGUUCCUAAUAGAAACAAGUUAGAAGGGAUGUCCAAAGAAAUCAGACUAAUUUGUGUGCCAUUGCAAACUUACAACAUUGCUUUUCUUUUUCGUGCUCUGUUGUUUGGUCUCUGUUCAAGCCAGGGGUUAUGUCUCCUCUAUGGGUAAAUAAGGGAGAGAACCUUGUUUGGCACUUGUAAAUGCUGUCACAGACUGUUGCUAUGUUUCAUAAAGAAAAACCUUUGACA